rnacentral:rRNA from 1 species
UACGGAGGGGGCUAGCGUUGUUCGGAAGUACUGGGCGUAAAGCGCACGUAGGCGGCUUUGCAAGGUAGAGGUGAAAGCCCGGGGCUCAACUCCGGAAUUGCCUUUAAAACUGCAUCGCUAGAAUUGUGGAGAGGUAAGUGGAAUUCCGAGUGUAGAGGUGAAAUUCGUAGAUAUUCGGAAGAACACCAGUGGCGAAGGCGACUUACUGGACACAUAUUGACGCUGAGGUGCGAAAGCGUGGGGAGCAAACAGG